CUCCAUUCAAAAACUUUGGUAAGAUAUAUGUGUUGACGUCAAAAAUAGGGCUAAAAGAUUUGUCUGGUUUUUACACUAGAAAAAGGCAAGAAUACACUCCUUCCUGUUUCUUUGGAACUUUUUCUAUCACUCUUUUUUUUUUUAAAGGGUAAUCUAUGCUGCUACAAGAGCAUCUGAUUUAAUUUUUUUAAUGGUAUGACGACACCUUAUACUCAGAAAGUUAUUUUGUAACCCUCUGCAGUUGUAUUUAAUAUCCGUGUGUUUGAAGAGGUUUCUCUCCAUCUCUGUACAAAAAAAAAAAAAAAAUAAUAAAUCUUACACCACCAACCCACUCUUCUGGCAAUAUCAUCUCCUGUUCUUGUCUUGCUCAUUAGUAGCAUCUCUUUUGUUAUCUCUCAAUGGCUUAUGAAAUUUGCAAUAUUUAUCUUGGAAGCGUACAUAUCUUUGACCUUGGAGCUGAAACGUAUGGCCAAUUCCUCCAGACAUAUUAUAGCCUUGUGGAAGGGCAUUUUAACUGCCAUUUGUUUUAUCUCCUCUGGAGAAGCAAGCCGCUUCUUCGCACAAUGCAGAUUUGGAUGCUGUGAGCGCUGUCCAUGUUCUAAAACCACAAUGCCCUCCUUGACCCAGAUAAGCCCGUAAUGCGAGCUGAAAGCUUUACCUUUCUUCAGUCAUAUCAAGCAGAAAUUCGUUGGAUAAUUUUAUAAGAUUAAAACAAAGGUGACAGGUCUUUUUCUGUGUUAUCCACCACAAGUUCUUCUAAGGAUUGUAGCCACAGGUUUUGUGCUUUCACCACUGAUGCACCUGAAAUAGCAGCUUUGCACUGGUAGCCUGCAGCUUGAUAUACCCGUCUGUUUGAAGUUUCUGCACGCUUGUCCAUAGGCUCUUUGAGGCCAGAAGUUAUUGAACUAGUUUAGAUUUAAAUGCCUGACACUUUUUCUAUUCCCUCUGGAGCAGCUCCAGAAGUCAUUUUAUCAUGCUGUUCUUGACUUUUAACAGCCCUUCUGUCUUUCUUCCUAGUAUUUUUAAAUGAUUCAAAUGUCUGAUAAGUUGCCCUGGAUGAGGGACUGCACGUUCAAUACAGCAUAAAUGCUUGGCUUUUCAUAUAGCCUUUCUGUCCGCAGGAGCUGACAUUUUAUCCUUUUCUGCUUUAUCCAGAG